rnacentral:rRNA from 1 species
AUUGAACGCUAGCGGCAGGCCUAACACAUGCAAGUCGCGCGGCAGCGGAAAGGAGCUUGCUAAUUUGCCGGCGCGCGGCGGACGGGGGAGUAAUGUCUGGGAAACUGCCUGAUUGAAGGGGAGAACUACUGGAAACGGUAGCGAAUACCGCAUAACGUCGUAAGACCAAAGAGUGGGACCUUCGGGCCUCGUGCCACCAGAUGUGCCCAGAUGGGAUUAGCUUAUAGGGGGGGUAACGUCCCACCUAGGCGACGAUCCCAAGCUGGGCUGAUAGGAUGGCCAGCCACACUGGAACUGAGACACGGUCCAGACUCCUACGGGAGGCAGCAGUGGGGAAUAUUGCACAAUGGGCGCAAGCCUGAUGCAGCCAUGCCGCGUGUAUGAAGAAGGCCUUCGGGUUGUAAAGUACUUUCAGCGGGGAGGAAGGUGUUGAGGUUAAUAACCUCAGCAAUUGACGUUACCCGCAGAAGAAGCACCGGCUAACUCCGUG